UGCUCUAGCAUGCACACAGAGAGAUAAAAAUGUUUCUGCAAAAGAGGGGUGAACAUGAAGAACAGGUACUCUGAUGAGCAAAGCUUCCUGUGAACCAAAGCUAAAUAGUAAACCAAACUCUCUCCAUUGCUAUGGCAGCUUCAUAAUGGAGCUCACCUUCCAGCAGUCCUAA
rnacentral:lncRNA from 1 species